GUGAGGAAUAUUGGUCAAUGGACGGAAGUCUGAACCAGCCAUGCCGCGUGAAGGAUGAAGGCGUUCUGCGUUGUAAACUUCUUUUAUCAGAGAAGAAACCACUGAUUUCUAUUAGUGUUGACGGUAUCUGAUGAAUAAGCACCGGCUAACUCCGUGCCAGCAGCCGCGGUAAUACGGAGGGUGCAAGCGUUAUCCGGAUUUACUGGGUUUAAAGGGUGUGUAGGCGGGCUAUUAAGUCAGGGGUGAAAUCCCGGGGCUCAACCUCGGAACUGCCUUUGAUACUAUUAGUCUUGAAUUAUGUUGAGGUUGGCGGAAUAUAACAUGUAGCGGUGAAAUGCAUAGAUAUGUUAUAGAACACCGAUUGCGAAGGCAGCUGGCUAAACAUAUAUUGACGCUGAGGCACGAAAGCGUGGGUAGCGAACAGGAUUAGAAACCCGAGUAGUCC
rnacentral:rRNA from 1 species